CCAAAAACUAGUCUUGCAAUAGUUGGUUUGGUAAAGUUCCUCUUCGGGUGGUCAUUGACAGCUCAUUCACAGGCUGCAUCCAAGUUUUUGGACAAAACCCCUAUUCUCGGAAAAGCCCCCUCUCCCGCCCGAUCGACAUCCAGAUUUGAAUUCUACAACACAAACUGGUCUGGCAAAAGUUGGUCUGGUAAAGUCCCUCGUCGGGUGGUAAUGUUCCCCCUUGUCCCUCUGGACUACAAGACAGAAACACAAAUUACUCUAUAGAAGAGGGGGAUCUCACCUCGUGGCUCACAGGCUGGAAGGUGGGAUGAUUUUCUCCAUGCAAACAGGCCCUAACAGGCCGAAUAACUUGCAAAAUAUGUCACCUGUUCUACGGCUCUAUAUUAAUUUUAUAUUUAACUUUGUUUUAAUCCAGAAUUAAUUUCAUUGCAAUAAAAAUAGUGUUUUAAACGAUUUCUGUUGAGGGAUGUAUAUAUUUGCUGAGACCUAUAACGACAGUGAGGUAAACUGAAUAUUCAUAACGUUUCAGUUGAAACAAAUAAUUUUCUAAUAAUGACGAUGAUGACGAAAGAGAUUUACAAUCACCAAUAGUUUCGUUUCUACGUAGAUUAAGUUAAAUUGACUCAACAGAAUUUGCAUUGCUUUCUUUUGUUUGAUCUGCUUGUUUUGUUCUUGCAGUUUUAUAAACAGAUGGCUAAUAGGAAGGCUAUAAAUCUUUUGCAUGUUUGGUGAAAUGUCUAAGUCAGUUAGAUUUUACAGAUGGUGGAAAAUGUUGUUCAGUGUUUUUUUGCAUCCGUUGCUCCUGUUCUUAAACGCGCCUGUGGUGGUAUCAAGCAGCUUCUUUAUGCUUGAAAAAGGAGACCAAAAUGGUAUAAAUGUUGGCAUCUCAAAGAUGCAUUUUAGGUGUGAUCGCGACCAAAGUUGUGCAUACAUUAAAUUCAACAAGGUGACACAAGAGUUUCAGCUUUUAACAGAGAAUUACGUUAUCAGUGAGGCAGACGAAGAUACAGAAACAGUUUGGAGAAAAGUUUUACAGAUUUAUCCUUCCUGCAAAGAGGCCUUACCAGGGGACCUUGACAAUGGGGUAUACUGGAUUCAACACAAGAAUAUGCAAGAACCAAUAAAAGUCAAAUGCAAAAGAGAGACAGAAAAUGUUCUCGCAGUAUUUGAUCACGACAGCGAAUCACGCAUAGUGGUUAGAGGGUUUGAAGACCCUGGAUCGUAUCGGCACAGAAUAACCUACACGAAUCGACUUCAAGACUUGACAAGCUUUGUCGACUCGUCACGUCAUUGCCGCCAGUUCACUAGAAUUGAUUGCAUCUUAAAAGUUUGUAUUUCCCUUCCUCGAGUACCCCAUAUUAUGGAUACCUCGUCGAUAGAAGUGGGAAUA